GACUGAUGCAUAUCAAAUUAUAUCACCAUUUGCAUAUCAGUGAAGAAGCAAAUGAUAGAAGGACCAAACGAUGCAGUGCAUUGUUCACAUCUGACGGGCGCGGCUGAUUUGACAUGGAAUGCUACUGAAUAUUUACUUCAAAGAUUAUUGUGUCCAGGUAUAAUCUGGUAACAAUAAUGAAUUUCCAGGACGUAGUGUACUAUAUUGCACACCUAUCAGCACUUGACAGAGGGCUGUGGAGGUUAUCUUGCUUGCAUCUCGGCAUGUCAAAUCUAAUUCAAUGAGCGUGUUUCACAACACAUGCCAUACAUAUCCACAUUAUGACCAAAUUAUUACGUAUUUUUGAAAACGUGACUAACAUGUUAUACCAAUAAACACACAAUUGAAUUGUGUAUGUAUCUGUAUGAGUGUGUAAUAUAUUAAUAUUAGCAUAGCAGUAAUUAACGUUUUGCAUUAACAAGCAUUAAUAUAUUUUGAAGUCCGUGUGGUUGAAACCUCAUUUCACUUCUUGAGUCUUUGAAUAAUAAAUGGUGUAAUAUGGCUGUGUCACUGUGACUAGAUUUACUGUCGGCUGAAUGACUUUGACUUAUAGACAGACCGUUGACCAGUUCUGAAGGUGUUUUGCUGAAUGACUUUGACUUAUAGACAGACCGUUGACCAGUUCUGAAGGUGUUUUGCUGAAUGACUUUGACUUAUAGACAGACCGUUGACCAGUUCUGAAGGUGUUUUGCUGAAUGACUUUGACUUAUAGACAGACCGUUGACCAGUUCUGAAGGUGUUUUGCUCAGUGUCUGCAUGUGUGACGUGCUGAAUAUGAUGGGUUCAAGUGGUUGUUAUAUCAAAUCAAAAACAGCAAAAAUGCCAUAUGGUCUUUCUACAUUUACAUGUGCAGUAAACAUGAAUGGCCAGCAAUAAUGUCCUGUGAUCAAUACCCAAUACCAGCUCUGUGCAGACAUGAUGCAGAUAUGCACAACACUACCUGAGCCUUCUAAUCCAAACACAUACACUAAUGAUGUGUAUAACUGUGUAUUCAACCAUUUUCCCAAGCAACAAAGACAGACAGUAUGCAAAGCACUAUUCCUGUAAUAUUGUACAAGCAAAAGAGAAGACUGAAUUUGUUUCAAAGUGUCUUCUGGGCCAGAACAGAAGCUGGAUAUUAGAAACACAGGUUUGUAGAUAUAAUUAUAUAUAAUAAUAUAAUUAAGACUUUAAUCUAGAGACAUUUGACUGAAAAUAUGUUAAUCAAACAGAAGUAAUCCUACACAACUACAAAUAUAUAUAUGCCACUGCCAACCAUCUCAUUAAUUCAGAUCGAGGUGACAUAUUUUUCUUUGACUAUUUUUGGAAACCAAGAGCAUAAAAUACAAGAGCAGAUUGGUUGUGUGGGUGGUGUUGUAAAGGUAAACAGGUAGAGAACGCGGAUGUGAUGUUGGCCAAAUAAAGGCUAAGUGGAGUUGUUUGGCUACCGUGGCAUGGCUGGAUCCCAGUAUAAUGCACCAGCGUAUCAUCAAUUGUUUAUGGCUGAAUAGGGUUGAACCCUGGGAUUUAAAGGAAUGGGACGGAGAAGCAACAUAUCCAUGUCCACUAACAUAUCUACUGGUGUGAACCACUGAUCAAUUUUAUAAAGGCAAAAAAAAAGAGAGAGAGAGAGAGAGAGAGAGAGAAAGAAAGAGAGAGGGAGAGAGAGCGGAGGUCUGAAAUGUGUUCCCCCUGCAAAAGCCUUCCACUCACAAUUCAAAUGUACACACAUACACACACACACACACACACACAUUCACCAAGGCCAGGAAGAUGUAUGUAAACCCAUUUACAAACAAAUAGGGCGAGCUCUGCAAGGAUAUGGAG
ensembl:lncRNA